rnacentral:tRNA from 1 species
GGGUCGUUAGCUCAGUUGGUAGAGCAGUUGACUUUUAAUCAAUUGGUCGCAGGUUCGAAUCCCGCACGACCCACC